ensembl:lncRNA
AUGCUGGGAGCUGAGGAAACAAAUCCUGGGACACUAAGUGAUUUGCCCAAGGCCACGCCGUGUCAAAGCCGAAGAAAACUCAAGGACAAUGACUUCCAAGUCUGCUGUGGGUACUACAAGUCCACGGAAACAAGGUCUUCUUUGGAACCUAGAAGUAAAAGUGUUAUAUUUAUUGAAUAUAUAUGUGGCACUGUGCUAGGCAAUGAAAAUAAAACAAUUAUAACCAUUGGAGCCAUUAAAGAGCCCACAGUGGAGGGUGAAGAAUUGUAACUGCAGUAGGGAAUUGGUGAGCAUGUCAUAAUUGAAGCAUGUCUGAGUGUUAGAAUAAUUGCAAACGUUGGAAACACUGGCUUGGAAGUAUACAUAUUUUUCGAAGAAGAAGAUUCUCCUGUGGGCAAUUUUAUUUAUCCAAGUUGUUGUUGUUUUUGUUUGUUCAUUUGUUUGUUUUUGAGAUGGAGUCUUGCUGUGACACCCAGACUGGAGUGCAAUGUAGCAAUCUCGGCUCACCGCAACCUCCACUUCUGGGGUUCAAGCUCUUCUCCUGCCUCAGCCUCCUGAGUAGCUGGGAUUACAGGUAUGUGUCACCAUGCCCAGCUAAUUUUUUUAUUUUUAGUAGAAACGGGGUUUCACCAUAUUGGCCAGGCUGGUCUCGAACUUGAGGUCUGACCUCAAGUGAUCCGCCCGCCUCAGCCUCCCAAAGUGCUGGAAUUACAGGCAUGAGUCACUGCACCUGGCAUAUUUAUCCAAGUUUUGGAUGAGGAGGUUUCAUUUUAUUUCCUAAAGAAGGCUAUCAUCUGACGGAAUGUAGGAGUCACUGCUGAGGCAGAAUUAAGACCUGAAUGGUGAGAAGUUAGGAAUUUUUCAAGAAUCCAGGAAGCCUUGCGCCUACAAGACCAAUUCAAGGUGAGAAAGGAUAUCACAGUGGCUGCGUACUUCCCCUCCAUCUAUUCUGAGUAAAGCUCACCUGCCCUACUUUGUUCACUUCCCUUUGUGUGUUCCUUUUCUCAUAUACACAUUUGGUAGUUGAUGAAAGGAAAAAAAAAAAGAGUAGUUUUAGAUGAAGUUUCCAUACUUUCCAAUUCAAGCCAAAGACAAACAUGAAGAGCCAAACUGCUGACUCUUUUCAUUAUAAUUUUCUUUCUCUUGUAAUCAAAGUUCUCUCUCCUUAACCUCAAACUCUGUCCUUUCUCACGAUGAGUUCUAGAGACUGGUCACGUCACCUUAGUUUCAAGCCUUCUUUGACUGUCUUAUUUUUUUCAUUUGUAAAGGUAAACGAGAAUCCCUGACCCUUAACAUUUUCCACAUGAACUAAUAGGAAUAUUCCUUUAAAUACUCUAUGCUCUUUUGCAGCACAAGAAAAGCAUGUUCUGUUAUCUUUUUUUUUUUAAUUUUUUUUUUCUGCCUUAUCUCCCAUAGAGCCAGGCUAAAUUAUUAGUCUACGGCAGAAGUUCUCAACUCUGGCUGCACAUGAGAAUAAUUUGGGGACCUUUUAAAAAUCCUGAUGCAUAAGCCAUACCAGAAACCAAUUAAAUCAGAGUCGCUGGGGGUUAAACUCAGGCAUCAGUAUUUUUAAGACUCCCAGGAUAAUUCCAAUGUGCAGCCAGGGUUCAGAAGCACAGAGAAGCAACGCCUAAUUAUUUCCCAAUUCCCCAAACUGGCAUUUACCUUCAUAAUUUUCUUGCCCAUCCUAUCUUCUUGGCGUCAAAUGCCUUGCAGUGUUUUACCACCUAAAUAAAACAAAACCUGCACAACCAACAAAGUUCGAGCCAAAUGCUCCCUUCUCCCACUCACUCCCAUCCAAGUGAUUUAUAUCUAUACUCAACACAUACGACAUUGGGCUUUAAACUCUAGUUACAGACAUGUCCUUUUCCUAAAUUGGUUUUAAGCUCCUUAAAAAUAGGGACUUAAGAUUAUUCAUGUGCACAUAGUGAACAUUCAAUUAAAUAUUUUGAAAUCAAAUAAAAUUGCCAAAAAUGAAUGAUAUAAAUAAAUCUAUACCCUUCCUAUAUAUAGUGUAGUGAUGACUUGUGCCUUCUAUUAAAAAUCAGUUGUUCAGAAAAGCCAUGAUACCAUUUCUGAUAAAAAUGCAAGAUGUGAUUUACUAUUCCUGGCAACAGCUGCUGCUCAUCAAUGAUACACUUUGAAGUCAGUAUAACACAAUUCAGCAGACAUGAUGAUUCUCAAUCUAUGCAUGAUGCCAUAUGGGCUUCAAGACCAAGACAGCAUUAUUUCUCUGCUCAGACAAAUACACUCCAUGUUUUGUCUUGCAAAAUUUGACCUAGAUUAAAGGUACUCUGGCCAAAACAUCUAAGUCCUCCCCAGAAAAUGGUUAUGGGUUAAAUGCGAAAGGAUACAUCUCUGUGUGUGUUCGUGUGGGGGUGUAUGUGAUGGCGUGUGGUGAGUAUAACACAUGCACAAAAUUCACUCCUGGAAGAGACAACUGAGGCAUGGCCACAUCUUUCCUGUGUUCCAGGUGUCCCUGUCUUUCCUCUCUGGUCCCAUUUAAACUCCGGGUUUAAUUCGAUCUUCCUAUGACUAUGUCCCUCCACUAGCAAAUGUGGAACGACUUGAAGGUAAACAUCACGUUUUACUCAUUGUUAUUCACUCAUAACAUUUACCUGUCACGGUUCCUAUCACACAACAGCAAUCAAAAGGUAUUUUUUGAAGUCAUAAUUGAACAAAAGGAACAAUUUUGAAUGGAUAAAGGAAAGUAUUGGUAUGAAUAGCUCCCUGACUCCAAACCUCCCCUGUUGUUGCCUAUAAAAAGCAAGCAUAUUUCAUACCACGCCCACAGGUACAGUGACUUGAAUAGGUUCUUGAUUAGAUAGUAACAACUAGAAGAAAAAUAAUUAAAU